UAGAGUUUGAUCCUGGCUCAGAUUGAACCGCUGGCGGCAUGCCUAACACAUGCAAGUACGAACGGUAACAGGUCUUCGGAUGCUGACGAGUGGCGGACGGGUGAGUAAUGCGUAGGAAUCUGUCUUUUAGUGGGGGACAACCCAGGGAAACUUGUGGCUAAUACCGCAUGAGCCCUGAGGGGGAAAGCGGGGGAUCUUCGGACCUCGCGCUAAGGGAGGAGCCUACGUCUGAUUAGCUAGUUGGUAGGGUAAAGGCCUACCAAGGCGACGAUCAGUAGCUGGUCUGAGAGGACGACCAGCCACACUGGGACUGAGACACGGCCCAGACUCCUACGGGAGGCAGCAGUGGGGAAUUUUUCGCAAUGGGGGCAACCCUGACGAAGCAAUGCCGCGUGGAUGAAGAAGGCCUUCGGGUUGUAAAGUCCUUUCGUGGAGGACGAAAAGGCGGGUUCUAAUACAAUCUGCUGUUGACGUGAAUCCAAGAAGAAGCACCGGCUAACUCCGUGCCAGCAGCCGCGGUAAUACGGGGGGUGCAAGCGUUAAUCGGAAUCACUGGGCGUAAAGGGUGCGUAGGCGGUACGUUAGGUCUGUCGUGAAAUCCCCGGGCUCAACCUGGGAAUGGCGGUGGAAACCGGCGGACUAGAGUAUGGGAGAGGGUGGUGGAAUUCCAGGUGUAGCGGUGAAAUGCGUAGAGAUCUGGAGGAACAUCAGUGGCGAAGGCGGCCACCUGGCCCAAUACUGACGCUGAGGCACGAAAGCGUGGGGAGCAAACAGGAUUAGAUACCCUGGUAGUCCACGCCCUAAACGAUGAAUACUAGAUGUUUGGUGCCACGCGUACUGAGUGUCGUAACCUAACGCGAUAAUUAUUCCCGCCUGGAAAGUACGGCCCGCAAGGUUAAAAACUUCAAAAGGAAUUGGACGGGGGGCCCGCACAAAGCGGGUGGAAGCAUGUG
rnacentral:rRNA from 1 species